rnacentral:rRNA from 1 species
UACGUAGGGUCCAAGCGUUAUCCGGAAUCACUGGGCGUAAAGCGUGCGUAGGUGGAUGUUUAAGUGAGAGGUUAAAUCGUGUGGCUCAACCAUAUCGAUGCCUCUCAUACUGGGCAUCUAGAGGACAGCAGAGGCAAGUGGAACUGGUAGUGUAGCAGAGAAAUGCGUAGAUAUUACCAAGAACACCAAUGGCGAAGGCAGCUUGCUGGGCUACUCCUGACACUGAGGUACGAAAGCGUGGGGAGCGAACAGG